UUGACCUCAAAUCAGGUAGGACUACCCGCUGAACUUAAGCAUAUCAAUAAGCGGAGGAAAAGAAACUAACAAGGAUUCCCCUAGUAACUGCGAGUGAAGCGGGAAAAGCUCAAAUUUAAAAUCUGGCGGUUCUUGACCGUCCGAGUUGUAAUCUAGAGAAGUGUUACCUGUGCUGGACCGUGUACAAGUCUCCUGGAAUGGAGCAUCAUAGAGGGUGAGAAUCCCGUCUUUGACAUGGACUGCCUGCAUGUUGUGGUGCGCUCUCGAAGAGUCGAGUUGUUUGGGAAUGCAGCUCAAAACGGGUGGUAAAUGCCAUCUAAAGCUAAAUAUUGGCGAGAGACCGAUAGCGAACAAGUACCGUGAGGGAAAGAUGAAAAGAACUUUGGAAAGAGAGUUAAACAGUACGUGAAAUUGCUGAAAGGGAAACGCUUGAAGUCAGUCGCGUUGGCUAGAAAUCAGCCUUGCUUUUGCUUGGUGUACUUUCUUGUCGACGGGUCAGCAUCAGUUUCGACCGCUGGAUAAGGACUUUGGGAAUGUGGCAUCUUUGGAUGUGUUAUAGCCCAUUGUCGCAUACGGUGGUGGGGAUUGAGGAACUCAGCACGCCGCAAGGCCGGGUCUCUGACCACGCUCGUGCUUAGGAUGCUGGCAUAAUGGCUUUAAUCGA
rnacentral:rRNA from 1 species